GGAGUAAAGCUUGUCGUGAGUGGUCAGCAGACGGCGUAGUACUCGGUAGCAGUAACCGAGGAAGGCC
rfam:Burkholderiales bacterium YL45, complete genome.